GAGAUAGGAAGAAAGUUGUUCGUUUUCUCUUUACCAGUUAGGAGAAUGACCUGGGCAUCUCAUAGUAGUGAGCCUGACAUUCUGCAGAAUGUUUCCUGAGGCUUCUAUGGGGUGAGAAGUUAAUAAGUUUUCAUGAUCAAACACAUUUGAGAAAUAUUAGGUUAAAAUAAGUAAAAUAACUUUCUGUGGAACCUUUGAAGAACCUUUAAUAUGCUGAUGUACAUUGCAAAUCUUCAGUGUUUUUCAACUUUACCCCGUCACGGAUCCAUUUUGUUAUGGAGCACUGCUCUCUGGACUGGUGUCCUGAAGAGGCAGCUUAUGGGAUGUGCUACUGUAGGCGAGGUGGAGCAGUUCAUACGUUGAACAGAAGGAGUAGUGGUGGUCCUUCUAACCAGGGUGCACAGGCAACUUUUCUUACUAUCUGUGGCCACUUCUGUCCCUUUAGAAAAGAUAAAGCCAAUUUACAUUUGUCACUUGGAGAAUUGGAGGGCUAUGCCUUAGUCAGAUCCAUGUCCCCUGCAAACUCUUACUUCAAAGGAAAGGAAAAACCUCAGAAUUCUGCCUUGGGUUUCCUCCAAAGAGCCAAGUCCCCCAGGUUACCCAGAAGCAUAGACUCACUGCAGUGAGCAAAGACUCAGGCUCAUAUUUUCUCUCUACCUUCUCCCAGUCCCAGCCUUGUAUCUACGUUAGAAUUGAGAUCUCUUUAUAUUUGGGGAUCUUUUGCUCCAAGUGCUUUGAUUUUUACCUAGGACAAAAGGUUUAUACCUUUAGCAGCUUGUGGGGCAGUGGGGUUUUCAAUAAAUUAAUUUCAGAUCCAAAUUAUGCAUGAUGUUGCAUUAUGUAAAUGUGACUUAGGCCAGGAAAAAGGUUUGGAUCACUAUUAGCUGCAGACACCGAGGUGUUGACGGUGGUUGGAACAGUCUUGCUUUGUCUGAGUAGGAAUGCAGCCUCCAAAAGCUGACUGUUGAUAGGGAAGACUUCAGUGUAUUGUCCUUUUGUUAAGGAAAAUAUGUGGAUGUGCUUGGCAAAUUGGUCCCUAUCUGACUCGCAGACACAGGGUUGAUUGGCUCAAACACUAGCUGCUGACGCUAGGUUACCAAAAACUGCAACUUAUUGUGCACACUGUCAUUACUUUAACCAGGUCUUGGUGAAGCUGGUAAGCCAAACUGACUGUCUUCAACUUUGUCAUCCUAUCUGAUUCUUAGAGCUGAUUUUUAGAUGAUUCCUUCUGUUGAUGUUCCUGAGGAAAGCAUUCUUUUUACCAUGAGAUGUAGUCCAAAGAUGGCUUGGUCUGAGAUUGCUUUGAAGGUUAAUUUGGAAAAGCCUCGAUGAGCUUAUAACAUUCAAGAAGAACGUUCUGCUG
rnacentral:lncRNA from 1 species